rnacentral:pre_miRNA from 1 species
GCUGCUGUAGGGUAUGAGGAGAGAGGUGUUACCUUAUCAGCUGCCUCCUCUCCCAUCCUCUCCUUCUGCAGAAGC